rnacentral:rRNA from 1 species
UACGUAGGGGGCAAGCGUUGUCCGGAAUCAUUGGGCGUAAAGAGCGUGUAGGCGGCCAGAUAAGUCCGCUGUGAAAUCUCGAGGCUCAACUUCGAGCUGUCGGUGGAAACUGUCUGGCUAGAGUCCGGAAGAGGAGAAUGGAAUUCCUGGUGUAGCGGUGAAAUGCGCAGAUAUCAGGAAGAACGCCCGUGGCGAAGGCGGUUCUCUGGGACGGUACUGACGCUGAGACGCGAAAGCGUGGGGAGCGAACAGG